CAAGUAGUGGUCUCAGAAGAUUGAGGAGAGCACCACAGUGGUCACCACGCAGUCCGCUGAGGUUGGAGCUGC
rnacentral:pre_miRNA from 1 species